rnacentral:rRNA from 1 species
AUUGAACGCUGGCGGCAGGCCUAACACAUGCAAGUCGAACGAGUGGCGGACGGUUGAGUAAUGUCUGGGAAACUGCCGGAAGGCGGGGGAUAACUACAGGAAACGGUAGCUAAUACCGCAUACCAUCGGAUGUUGCAAGAUGGGAUUAGAUUGUAGGGGAGGUAACGGCUCAACUAGGCGACGAUCCCGAGCGGGUCUGAGAGGAUGACCAGCCACACUGGAGCUGAGACACGGUCCAGACUCCUACGGGAGGCAGCAGUUGGGAAGAUGGCACGAGGGGCGCAGGCCUGCUGCAGCAAGGCCGCGUGUAUGAAGAAGGCUUUCGGGUUGUAAAGUACUUUUGGCGGUGAGGCGUUACCCAACGAAGAAGCAACGGCUAACUACGUGCCAGCAGCCGCGGUAAUAC